rnacentral:rRNA from 1 species
UACGGGGGGGGCAAGCGUUGUUCGGAAUUACUGGGCGUAAAGGGCUCGUAGGCGGCCAACUAAGUCAUACGUGAAAUCCCUCGGCUUAACCGGGGAACUGCGUCUGAUACUGGAUGGCUUGAGGUUGGGAGAGGGAUGCGGAAUUCCAGGUGUAGCGGUGAAAUGCGUAGAUAUCAGGAGGAACACCGGUGGUGUAGACGGCUUUCUGGACCGUAACUGACGCUGAGACACGAAAGCGUGGGUAGCAAACAGG